CAGUAGCCGCGGUAAUACGAGGGGGGCAAGCGUUGUUCGGAAUUAUUGGGCGUAAAGGGUGCGUAGGCGGUUUGGCAAGUUUGGUGUGAAAUCUUCGGGCUCAACUCGAAGUCUGCAUCGAAAACUGCCGGGCUUGAGUAUGGGAGAGGUGAGUGGAAUUUCCGGUGUAGCGGUGAAAUGCGUAGAUAUCGGAAGGAACACCUGUGGCGAAAGCGGCUCACUGGACCAUAACUGACGCUGAUGCACGAAAGCUAGGGGAGCAAACAGGAUUAGAUACCCGCGUAGUCCCUGUCUCUUAUAC
rnacentral:rRNA from 1 species